rnacentral:rRNA from 1 species
UACGUAGGGUGCGGGCGUUAAUCGGAAUUACUGGGCGUAAAGCGUGCGCAGGCGGUUAUAUAAGACAGAUGUGAAAGCCCCGGGCUCAACCUGGGAACUGCAUUGGAAACUAACGGGCUCGAGUGUGGCAGAGGGGGGUGGAAUUCCACGUGUAGCAGUGAAAUGCGUAGAGAUGUGGAGGAACACCGAUGGCGAAGGCAGCCCCCUGGGCUAACACUGACGCUCAGGCACGAAAGCGUGGGGAGCAAACAGG